rnacentral:lncRNA from 7 species
GGGGGCCACCGUCUUUCGUGUAAUCAUCGUUGCUUGAUUUGGUUUCUUCCUUUUCGUUCGAGUCUUCCCGUGCUGCUUCUCUAGUGUACGACCAGUUCGAUCUAUUGUCUGCAGCGGUCUCCAUCUUGAGGUGUCUGUGUCCAGUGUCCACCGAAGGUGCUGGAGGGUUUGGACUCUCUGCCUUCUUGUUAGCUUCUGUUGGUAUUGUACAGUCCCUAGAGAAGGCUAGUUUUCAAAAGGUUAUUUUGCUAAUCUCCUCUUCGAUUUGUCAAGACUGAAGGCAUGAUUAAAACCUUGUGUCGUCAACUUUGGAUAGUUCGUUUCAGUUUUGGUGCUUUGUUGCGGUGAAAAAUCUCAUGUUCAAUUCCCCUGAGAAGUCCCACAACUCGCUCCUACGUCCUACCAUGAUGUUAGUACUAUCUUUACAAACAGAAACAUGCACUCGUGUUUGUAAAUUCAUCUAUGUCUCUAUGAUGUGCUUUUGAUAUAAUUAACUUGUACUGAAUGUAAGACUCUUGCUCUGUGUACUAUAGUGUUCUGCUGCUGACAUGGUUGAAUUAUUUUUUCGUAUAUGUAAGUGCUAAUGAUAGUCCAUCUAGUUGUGCCAGCUUUGGUUAGCCACUUCUUGUAAGACCCAUGUGAGUACCUAGUUAUUGAGGACAUUUGACUGCAAUAAAAAACAAACUGACUG